rnacentral:rRNA from 1 species
CGGCGCACAUAAGACAUGCAAGUCGAACGGAAGUCGCUAAGAAACAGAUUGACGAUUAUCUGAUUGAAGUUCAUAGCAAUGACUUAGUGGCGGACUGGUGAGUAACACGUAAGCAACCUGCCUAUCAGAGGGGAAUAACAGUGAGAAAUCAUUGCUAAUACCGCAUAAGCUAGUAGUAUCGCAUGGUACAGCUAGAAAGGAGCAAUCCGCUGAUAGAUGGGCUUGCGUCUGAUUAGCUAGUUGGUGGGGUAACGGCCUACCAAGGCAACGAUCAGUAGCCGGACUGAGAGGUUGAACGGCCACAUUGGGACUGAGAUACGGCCCAGACUCCUACGGGAGGCAGCAGUCGGGAAUAUUGCGCAAUGGAGGAAACUCUGACGCAAGUGACGCCGCGUAUAGGAAGAAGGUUUUCGGAUUGUAAACUAUUGUCGUGAGGGAAGAAGAUGACAGUACCUCAGGAGGAAGCUCCGGCUAACUAUGUGCCAGCCGCAGC